UACGUAGGGUGCAAGCGUUAAUCGGAAUUACUGGGCGUAAAGCGUGCGCAGGCGGUUUUGUAAGCCAGAUGUGAAAUCCCCGGGCUCAACCUGGGAAUGGCAUUUGGGACUGCAAGGCUGGAGUACGGCAGAGGAGACUGGAAUUCCUGGUGUAGCAGUGAAAUGCGUAGAUAUCAGGAGGAAUACCGAUGGCGAAGGUAGGUCUCUGGGCUGAUACUGACGCUCAUGCACGAAAGCGUGGGGAGCAAAAGGG
rnacentral:rRNA from 1 species